rnacentral:rRNA from 1 species
UACGUAGGGUGCAAGCGUUAAUCGGAAUUACUGGGCGUAAAGCGUGCGCAGGCGGUUAUGCAGGACAGAGGUGAAAUCCCCGGGCUCAACCUGGGAACUGCCUUUGUGACUGCAUAGCUAGAGUACGGUAGAGGGGGAUGGAAUUCCGCGUGUAGCAGUGAAAUGCGUAGAUAUGCGGAGGAACACCGAUGGCGAAGGCAAUCCCCUGGACCUGUACUGACGCUCAUGCACGAAAGCGUGGGGAGCAAACAGG